GAUGAACGCUGGCGGCGUGCCUAAUACAUGCAAGUCGAGCGAACGGACGAGAAGCUUGCUUCUCUGAUGUUAGCGGCGGACGGGUGAGUAACACGUGGAUAACCUACCUAUAAGACUGGGAUAACUUCGGGAAACCGGAGCUAAUACCGGAUAAUAUUUUGAACCGCAUGGUUCAAAAGUGAAAGACGGUCUUGCUGUCACUUAUAGAUGGAUCCGCGCUGUAUUAGCUAGUUGGUAAGGUAACGGCUUACCAAGGCAACGAUGCAUAGCCGACCUGAGAGGGUGAUCGGCCACACUGGAACUGAGACACGGUCCAGACUCCUACGGGAGGCAGCAGUAGGGAAUCUUCCGCAAUGGGCGAAAGCCUGACGGAGCAACGCCGCGUGAGUGAUGAAGGUCUUCGGAUCGUAAAACUCUGUUAUUAGGGAAGAACAUAUGUGUAAGUAACUGUGCACAUCUUGACGGUACCUAAUCAGAAAGCCACGGCUAACUACGUG
rnacentral:rRNA from 1 species